GAAGCGGGGGCCUCCAGGAUUCUGGCUACUCGGGGGCCCGGGCCCAGGGCGCACGCGCACCCCCGCCCCGACCGCCGUCGCCCUGCGCGUUCCGAGACGGGGCGGGGCCGGUGGUCACGCAGGCGCAGCCCCUACCCAGUGAGGCGUGUCACGGGUCGCUCCCCGGGGGUCAGGGUCACCAAAACUCCGGCAGGCCUUUCCCCGGGGCCACUGGGGGCCUGUUACCGGCAGUCGCCGCCCUGCCUUGACUGCCUGGGUGAAUCAGGUGCUAAUCGAAGCCUUGGUCUUGCAGGCUCCCCUGCCUGGGUUUUCUGAGUGCUACCGAUUUAGUCCGGGUGGGGGGAUUCCUACGGCCCUGCCGCACCCACGAAGAGCGAGAAGGCUCACCCGGUGGAGGAGGUGGGCUCGGUGACUCAUCUCUGGGAUGACCUAACCUCCCGACCCUGGCGGAGCAGAUGUCCGGAUGUCAGACGUCAUACCGUGACUUUGGACGGCCAGUGUGCCCCCUUCAGAUUGUAAACUGGCUCUAGUAGUUGCAUGGGUAUGUUGAUACAAUUGCUUCCGGAAAGCCCCUUUCCUUGCUAAGCAGCACGGUAAUGUCUGCGUUGUGGUUCUGCCUGGAGUGGAACACUUUCUAACCUGUAGCAGAAUUGUAACUGUCCAGAAGGAGAAUGGGUAUCCAGUUGAGUGCUUGGGGCCUUGCCAAGCAGUGUGAGCACAAGGAUGGCCCCUUCAGUGACCUCAGCGUUUGAAAGGCCACUGAUUUCCAGCCUCCAAGCAGUCUCCUGAACAUGAACUUGGUUUCCUUCUUCCACUUAAGAGGUUUGGGGACCGCGGAUCUCAGAGCACUGACAACUGGAGAGUGUGGCGUCAGGGGAAAACAGCAGGAGGAACGAAUACCCAGGUUAGGAGACUGAAGCUGCUUUCACCUAGGGGAGGGCCGGAAGAAGAGAGCGCUGAGAAGACCCCGCCAAGGCUCCCUGCUGGAGACCCUCGAUGCGCCUCCCCUCCUCCCCCGCCCCAGCAGCCGCCGCUUGAUCUCUUAGGCAGAGAACAGUCCUCGCCUGAUGAAGAACACUGGAGGUUUCUUUAGAACUCAGCUUCUAAAGAAGUUCUUCUAAGAAGUCUUUCUUCUUCCUAGAGGACUCCCAGCAGAGUUCACACAUAAUGGCUACUCUGAAAAGGGCUCAGUGAAUGGGCCAGGUCAACUGAGACUAGCCAGGCUGCUACCAGAGCGUGCUGGUAGAUGUGGGUGCCUAGGAGACACAGGCAGGGAGGCCCUUCACCACCGCUGUGGAACCUGGGUUCAGGCUCCUCACCUGGGGGCAAACUAGCCCAAGGAAGAUGUGGUCAGCCAGUCAGCUCAUUCCCAGCCAGCCUUUGGGCUUCCAUUAGGCACCUUGCUUAAUGUCAUUGGUACCUGAUAGUGAGCAAAGCACAAAGCCACUUUGUGACCAGUGGAGCAUGUCUGCACUUUUAAGUAAUUUACAGGGAUUUUAGGUCCAGAGACGGGGUGUAUAUAGUACAGGGAAGAAGUGACCAAUUUGGUAUCGGGGGCAUUGUCUGAGUCCCCUACUUGCAUGACCUUAAGCAAGUUGCCCUUCCUCUUUGAUUGUGUUUUCAGAUCUGUAAAAAGGGGACCAAGCUCUCCAUCUCACGGAGUAACUGUGAGGAUUACGUCAGGUCAUAGAAAGCGUCUGGGAGCUUCAAAACAUGCAUUAAGUCAUUUCAUCUGUCAAGAACUGAAGCAACAGGGCUCAGACCUCAGGCCCCAUCAGUGGCACAACUGGGAAGUUUGCCUUCAGCUUCCCUUUUCUGAAAAUGUGUUCCCACUCAGUGGUUUCUUCUGCCCACCUCAAGCACCAUGCUUCUGGAUGUCUUGCUUUCUGCACUGGCUGUCCAGAAAACGUCAGUAGAAAGUGCUCCCAUGUUCCACCAGAGUAGGAAGAGUCCUGCUUCUCAAGGUGGAGUGUCUUUCUGAGUAGGUGUGUCAGUCAUUGGAUAAUCAAGGUAUGUUUUCCCAGAGUACAAUUUUUACUCCAUGAUAAAUCAUUUUAAGCAUUGUUUUCAUGUUUUAAAACACCUGGACACGUCAGGAAAUAAAAUGCAGAGCUCAUUAUAAUUUUGAAAGAUAAAAAAAAGAAACCUUGAAGAAAUUUUCUCUCUUAAAACACACAGGCAUUGUCAAAUGAGUUUCCCAAGUUCUGAAGAUGUUUAAUUUCUGGUCCAACCUCCCUUAUUUGCUCAGGAAGGAGACUGAGGCCCAGAGAAAUGAGGGGAGUGCCCACCUCCUCUGUCUCCUCCCACGAGGAAGAGCCACAUGAGUAGAGAUCUGUCUGCUCCAGUGCAUCCCCGUCACCUAGACGUGUGUCUGGUAACAACAGUUUGCACUCAAUAAAUAUUUAUCGAACAAUUCAAGUAAUUCUAAGGGGCAAGAGAACUAAGAAAGCCUCUGAGUUUCCGCAGGGGAUAUCCAUAUUAACUUAAGGGUGCUAUGUGACACUUCCCAGGAGCAGGUCAGAAGGGGUUUCUGCCCCUGUAAAAUAAGACGGGCCUUUUCCUUGGGUAAAACUGACCCAGUCAUUUGUCUUAUUCCCUAAGGACGCUUCUCAGAGCAGGAAAUGCACUAAAAUAUUCACAGAGAUCAUUUCUCCCAGUGAGGUUAUAAUGAGCUUGUAUCACUUACAAAAUAAGAGUCAAGGACCUUAUAGCACUUUUUGUGCAUCGGCAAAAGCAAGUCCAGCCCAAAUGGCGUGUUUACCUGUGUUUCUUUAUUGUGAGCGAGGCCUCUAUCUGCGUUUACCUGGUGGAAGGGUGCGGCCAGAGGCGUGCUGGCUGGUUCUGAGGGGCCCAGCCAGCCUGGUGACCGGCUGGCACACGGGGCUUUAAAGGUGUCCCCAGCCCUCCAAGAUCUGGAUAGCAAGAAAACCACUGUGACACACAGCGAAGUGGUGAGAGCUAUACCAGCAAUGUCCCCGCUCCACAGGGCAGCCCACGCACCUGCCCUUCCCUGCGGAGCUCUGCGUUCUCUGCAGAUGCUUCUGUUCACUGGACUCAAGGUUACGUCUGUGCAGAGGAAGGAACAGAAGGCGGGCGGGUUUUUUAGGAAGAUAACUGUCUUUGCUUAGGGUAAGGCCAGCCUAGCCGGCUUGGGGUGCAGGAACUGUUGGCUGCUUUGCAGAAGUGGUUCAGAGGGUCUUCGGAAAAGGGAAGAAGGCAGAGAAGGCACAGAGCAACACAGCAAGAGACUGAAGUUUGGAGCAAAAGGGGGGUCUGUGGGAAACUCCUGGACUGGGUUUACUGAGGGACUUCCAAAAAUAGGGCUGUCUGAAAAAAAAUAGUGCUUUCUACGAUUUCAUUUUCCACCCUGUCCCUCUAACCAUCCCUAAAGGCUUCUGCACACAUAAAUGUCCUCUGUGGGAGAUUUCAGGAGAUGGGAACAGGAGCUGAGCGCCCAGGCAGCCACGGGGGUGAAGAGUGAGGGCGUCUCAGCAGAAGAAGGGACUUCUGCACACAGAACUUCCCAAAGAGUUCCUGGGCGGGAAAAAUGCUGAUUUUCCCCAUUGUUGAAGGGUUGAGUCAAAUUUUAUUUAAAUUUCAAAGGACAGUUGUGACUCUAGCUGAUACUUGACUUCCAUUUCCAGGUAUAUUCCUCAGCAUAAGAAGAGUUUAAAUUCUGUGGAAAUUCUAGAACUUCCCUUUUAUAUUUAAACACGAUUCCUUUGCUUCCAUACCCUGGCAUCCUUCAGAGGAGCCAGUAAAUUUAAGCACUGGCUUAAUUAAGCUUAGAAUUUAAGUUUAUUUUUCAUUCUGUGCUCAGGGAACUACUUGGGUGAACAAGUAUUUAUUCCAUAUUUACCUUAUGCUCAUACCUAUAGAAAAAUAAACAUCACUGUCCUUAAUGAUCCUGUAACCUAAUUGAGGAUAUGGGAUGAAACAAAUGCGAGAUUCGGCAACACUUAUAUAAGUGUCAAGUGCUAAUUUGUGCAGGUUGGGGAGAUGCUAAGCAGGCUAGGGUCUAAGGAAGGAAAGAUCCUGGUAGACUUGAGGGACCUGGGAAAUUUCAGUGAGGCGGUGGGACUUGAGGAAGUUUCAGGAUUGACUGUUGGUGGAGAGAUCCUUGGAGACCAGGACUUCUCAGCCUCAGAUCUGUCGACGUUUGGGGCCUGAAGGUUCUGUGCUGUGGGGUCGUCCUGUGCGCUGUAGGGUAUGAAGCAGCACCCCUGCCCUCUACCCUUUAGAUGCCAGCAGCUCCCAUUCCGCAGUUGUGACAACCAAAAAUGCCUCCAGGCACUGCUACGUGUGCCCUGGGGCACAACUGUCCCAGCCAAGAACCACAUGUUGAGUAAAGGGAACAGCAUACGAGCUGGAGGGAGGAAGAAAGUUGAUGGGUGGAGGUGAGACCUUGUGUAGAUAUCCCCAUAGGCUUCUGGCCAGACCGCACAGCAAACGUGGCCUCACCGUCCCAGAAGACAGUAUGUGGCACUGCUGGUGGCUGUUCUGCUCAGAAAGCUGCUGUAGAAUGCUGGUCACUUCUGAGCAUGACACACUUCUCUCUGGUAUCAACAGCCCGAUUAUACCCUGGGGAGUAGGAAAUACAUACGGAUGGGCAGAAGCAUAGCCAGUUAGUAAAGCGCCACGAGUGCCAAGCCACAGAGGUUCUGCUCUGCUUGAUAGCACUUUUCUGAUAUAGAUUCUUGACAUACUUUGGGAAGAUUAAUUUGACGGUAACAUUCUCAGUUGGGCGCAAGGAUGAAGCAGGGCUUUCUAACCUGGAGAUUAUGGAUAGGCUUCAGGAGGCCUAUGAGUCCCUAAAUAAACCCAUCAUUUUGUGGGUUUAUUCAUCUUUUGGAGGAGGGAUUCCAUAGCUUACAUCAGACCCCCACAAAGUUGAGAACUCUUGGGUUCAGCUGGGGUCAAAACAUGAAACAAGGACAUCAGUGAGUAUUCUAGUGGAAUAAUCCCUCCCUCCCUCCCUUUCUAGAAGCAGAUAACCCUUCCACAUGAGCACCCAGAUGCCCAGGAGCUGCGGGAAGGAUGGAGCUCAGGUUAGAGACAUUUCAUGAAGUGAAAUAUAGUGAAUCCAGAGGCUCAGAGAAUAAUGGAAAAUCCUGGAGGUGGCAUCUGAGCCCUGCCUUGCCCGUAGACAUUGCUGGUCAGAAAACAUAGGAGGAAAGGGGGAGUCUGGACUUGCUGGUGGCUGAGGAAAUGAGAGAGAAACACAAAUGUAAAAGAGCUGCAGAGAAGGUAGCCUCUCAUCAGUACAAUGACCUAGUGGCUAAUCGCACAGGAGAGAGGAAGGCUCAGGGGGCAACGAGUGAGAGAUUAUGCCAGAGGUCCAAGCCAGGAAGACUGGAGACUGGAGGCAGUAGUGAGUGCGUUUCGAGUGGGAAGACCGAGUUUUGUGUUUAGACACAUUGAAUUUGAGGCAAUGAGAGGGUGUUCUAUUUCAGAAAAUUCCUUCAGGGCAACGGGGGAUACAUGACCAAUGCUGGGCAGGUGGCAGGAGGAGAGGUGGGCAGUGAGGGCCACACCACUGCUUCCUCCGGGUGCUUGUUUUCAUGGGCUUUGCAGAACACAGAGAUGUUUUGUGGAUGAAAACAACAAUCUCACAACAUCAACAUUGAACUUCUGACUCUAGACUUGAAUGUUUAUUAGCCCCUUCUUCCUGGAGUGGUGACUGGACGGGGUGUCAGGGCUUUCGGGUGGGGGUGGGGCUAG